GACGUAGGGGGCAAGCGUUAUUCGGAAUUAUUGGGCGUAAAGAGCUCGUAGGUGGUUUGUUACGUCUGCUGUGAAAACCUAGGGCUUAACCCUGGGCCUGCAGUGGAUACGGGCAGACUAGAGGUAGGUAGGGGAGAAUGGAAUUCCCGGUGUAGCGGUGAAAUGCGCAGAUAUCGGGAGGAACACCGGUGGCGAAGGCGGUUCUCUGGGCCUUACCUGACACUGAGGAGCGAAAGCGUGGGGAGCGAACAGG
rnacentral:rRNA from 1 species